rnacentral:tRNA from 1 species
UGCAGUGUAGCUUAGUGGUAAAGUGCUGGUCUAGUAAGUGCAGUGUCCUGGGUUCGAUCCCCAGCACCAA